rnacentral:rRNA from 1 species
UACGUAGGGUGCAAGCGUUGUCCGGAAUUAUUGGGCGUAAAGAGCUCGUAGGCGGUUUGUCGCGUCUGCUGUGAAAACCCGAGGCUCAACCUCGGGCCUGCAGUGGGUACGGGCAGACUAGAGUGCGGUAGGGGUGACUGGAAUUCCUGGUGUAGCGGUGGAAUGCGCAGAUAUCAGGAGGAACACCGAUGGCGAAGGCAGGUCACUGGGCCGCAACUGACGCUGAGGCGACGAAAGCCUAGGGGAGCAAACGGG